rnacentral:rRNA from 1 species
GACGAACGCUGGCGGCGUGCCUAAUACAUGCAAGUCGAACGCACAGUUUAUACCGUAGCUUGCUACACCAUAGACUGUGAGUUGCGAACGGGUGAGUAACGCGUAGGUAACCUGCCUGGUAGCUGGGGAUAACUAUUGGAAACGAUAGCUAAUACCGCAUAAUAUUAAUUAUUGCAUGAUAAUUAAUUGAAGGGUGCAAUUGCACCACUACCAGAUGGACCUGCGUUGUAUUAGCUAGUAGGUGAGGUAACGGCUCACCUAGGCGACGAUACAUAGCCGACCUGAGAGGGUGAUCGGCCACACUGGGACUGAGACACGGCCCAGACUCCUACGGGAGGCAGCAGUAGGGAAUCUGCGGCAAUGGACGAAAGUCUGACCGAGAAACGCCGCGUGAGUGAAGAAGGUUGUCGGAUCGUAAAGCUCGGUUGUAAGAGAAGAACGGGUGCGAGCGUGGAAAGUUCACACUGUGACGGUAUCUUACCAGAAAGGGACGGCUAACUACGUG